AUCAGUGUGUGUGUUAGUGGAAGCGUCUGGAAAGGCGCGCGAUACAGGGUGACAGCCCCGUACACAAAAAUGCACAUGCUGUGAGCUCGAUGAGUAGGGCGGGACACGUGGUAUCCUGUCUGAAUAUGGGGGGACCAUCCUCCAAGGCUAAAUACUCCUGACUGACCGAUAGUGAACCAGUACCGUGAGGGAAAGGCGAAAAGAACCCCGGCGAGGGGAGUGAAAAAGAACCUGAAACCGUGUACGUACAAGCAGUGGGAGCACGCUUAGGCGUGUGACUGCGUACCUUUUGUAUAAUGGGUCAGCGACUUAUAUUCUGUAGCAAGGUUAACCGAAUAGGGGAGCCGAAGGGAAACCGAGUCUUAACUGGGCGUUAAGUUGCAGGGUAUAGACCCGAAACCCGGUGAUCUAGCCAUGGGCAGGUUGAAGGUUGGGUAACACUAACUGGAGGACCGAACCGACUAAUGUUGAAAAAUUAGCGGAUGACUUGUGGCUGGGGGUGAAAGGCCAAUCAAACCGGGAGAUAGCUGGUUCUCCCCGAAAGCUAUUUAGGUAGCGCCUCGUGAAUUCAUCUCCGGGGGUAGAGCACUGUUUCGGCAAGGGGGUCAUCCCGACUUACCAACCCGAUGCAAACUGCGAAUACCGGAGAAUGUUAUCACGGGAGACACACGGCGGGUGCUAACGUCCGUCGUGAAGAGGGAAACAACCCAGACCGCCAGCUAAGGUCCCAAAGUCAUGGUUAAGUGGGAAACGAUGUGGGAAGGCCCAGACAGCCAGGAUGUUGGCUUAGAAGCAGCCAUCAUUUAAAGAAAGCGUAAUAGCUCACUGGUCGAGUCGGCCUGCGCGGAAGAUGUAACGGGGCUAAACCAUGCACCGAAGCUGCGGCAGCGACACUGUGUGUUGUUGGGUAGGGGAGCGUUCUGUAAGCCUGCGAAGGUGUGCUGUGAGGCAUGCUGGAGGUAUCAGAAGUGCGAAUGCUGACAUAAGUAACGAUAAAGCGGGUGAAAAGCCCGCUCGCCGGAAGACCAAGGGUUCCUGUCCAACGUUAAUCGGGGCAGGGUGAGUCGACCCCUAAGGCGAGGCCGAAAGGCGUAGUCGAUGGGAAACAGGUUAAUAUUCCUGUACUUGGUGUUACUGCGAAGGGGGGACGGAGAAGGCUAUGUUGGCCGGGCGACGGUUGUCCCGGUUUAAGCGUGUAGGCUGGUUUUCCAGGCAAAUCCGGAAAAUCAAGGCUGAGGCGUGAUGACGAGGCACUACGGUGCUGAAGCAACAAAUGCCCUGCUUCCAGGAAAAGCCUCUAAGCAUCAGGUAACAUCAAAUCGUACCCCAAACCGACACAGGUGGUCAGGUAGAGAAUACCAAGGCGCUUGAGAGAACUCGGGUGAAGGAACUAGGCAAAAUGGUGCCGUAACUUCGGGAGAAGGCACGCUGAUACGUAGGUGAAGUCCCUCGCGGAUGGAGCUGAAAUCAGUCGAAGAUACCAGCUGGCUGCAACUGUUUAUUAAAAACACAGCACUGUGCAAACACGAAAGUGGACGUAUACGGUGUGACGCCUGCCCGGUGCCGGAAGGUUAAUUGAUGGGGUCAGCGCAAGCGAAGCUCUUGAUCGAAGCCCCGGUAAACGGCGGCCGUAACUAUAACGGUCCUAAGGUAGCGAAAUUCCUUGUCGGGUAAGUUCCGACCUGCACGAAUGGCGUAAUGAUGGCCAGGCUGUCUCCACCCGAGACUCAGUGAAAUUGAACUCGCUGUGAAGAUGCAGUGUACCCGCGGCAAGACGGAAAGACCCCGUGAACCUUUACUAUAGCUUGACACUGAACAUUGAGCCUUGAUGUGUAGGAUAGGUGGGAGGCUUUGAAGUGUGGACGCCAGUCUGCAUGGAGCCGACCUUGAAAUACCACC
rnacentral:rRNA from 1 species